GGAACUUCCUGAUGCGGCCAACCUCGCAACAAGACCUUCCAAGAUGUAUGCUCCCAGUCUCUGAAUCGGUUCCCCCGACACUGAUACCAUUUGACGCAACUCAGAUAUUAACACUUGUGCUGUUAGUAAAUCACCAUCAGACACUGCUUUUGCACAAGCGAUAAGGACAUGUUUCAAAUCCCGCCUAGGCAUGGCCUCCAUCAUUUGCUUCCAGCUGAAUCACUGUCAUACACUGCUUUUGCACAAGCGAUAAGGACAUGUUUCAAAUCCCGUCUAGGCAUGGCCUCCAUCAUUUGCCUCCAGCUAUUAAUUUCUGUGGAGGCUAUACUGUUCGGCAAGGAAUUAUCAUAACUCU
rnacentral:lncRNA from 1 species